rnacentral:rRNA from 1 species
CGUACUUAAUCUACCCCCCAGUUUGGCAUUACAGUUGGAAACAAUUGCUAAUACCAAAUUAAUAUAAGUUUUGCAUAAUUCUUAUAUAAAAGGAGCGUUUGUUUCGCUAGGGGAUGAGAGUGCGCUACAUUAGUUAGUUGGUAGGGUAAGAGCCUACCAAGACUAUGAUGUAUAGCGGGGCUGAGAAGCUGAACCGCCACACUGGGACUGAGAUACGGCCCAGACUCCUACGGGAGGCAGCAGUAGGGAAUAUUCCACAAUGAGCGAAAGCUUGAUGGAGCAACACAGCGUGCAGGAAGACGACCUUAGGGUUGUAAACUGCUGUUAUGAGGGAAGAAAAAUAAAAUUAGGAAAUGAAUUUUACAUGACGGUACCUCAUCAGAAAGCACCGGCAAACUAUGUGCCAGCAGCCGCGGUAAUACAUAGGGUGCAAGCGUUAUCCGGAAUUAUUGGGCGUAAAGUGUCUGUAGGUGGUAUGUUAAGUCUAGUGUUAAAGACUAGGGCCCAACCCUAGCACGCUCUAGAUACUGACAUGCUAGAGUCAUAGAG